UCUCCGUAGGUGAACCUGCGGAGGGAUCAUUACAAGUGCCCCCGGUCUUACCACCGGGAUGUUCAUAACCCUUUGUUGUCCGACUCUGUUGCCUCCGGGGCGACCCUGCCUUCGGGCGGGGGCUCCGGGUGGACACUUCAAACUCUUGCGUAACUUUGCAGUCUGAGUAAACUUAAUUAAUAAAUUAAAACUUUUAACAACGGAUCUCUUGGUUCUG
rnacentral:misc_RNA from 1 species